rnacentral:tRNA from 1 species
AUGAGCUCAGCUGGUUGGAGCAUGGCACUAAUAAUGCCAAGGUGGUGGGUUUGAUCCCCAUAU